rnacentral:tRNA from 1 species
AGUGGAGUGCCUGAAUAAAAGGGUAAUUUUGAUAGAAUUAAGCAUGCAGUUCCACCUGUCUCCACUA